rnacentral:lncRNA from 1 species
UCAACGGGAAAGAAAAUUCUUGUCGAAAAUCUCCAGUCCCUAAGAGCGAAUCAAUACAUCGAUGAUCAGGAAGAAUCUUCAAACAAAGCCGACGUCGAAUGGGAUGGAAGACAAAAGAAGUUCGGUAAACGACAACUUAAUGCAAGAAGGGACAAGGUAACAAAAUUUUUUUUUUCAUUUCAUUGGCCAAGUGCGCGUUAAAAAACCUUUGAAGACAAAAAAAAAGCUCUAAG